GGGGCUAUAGCUCAACUGGGAGAGCGCUUGCAUGGCAUGCAAGAGGUCGACGGUUCGAUCCCGUCUAGCUCCACCA
rnacentral:tRNA from 2 species